CUCGACCCUGAUGCCCAUGAACACAAAUGACGAGUUUAAGACAAACCAAUGGCGGAAUGGAAUUGAUUAAUGGAAUAAAAUAUUUAUUAUGUAUGGACACUAAGUUUUAUGGUUAGACUUUAGCCUAAAAAAACAUGCGCGCUGAUUACAAUUUUGGCAGUCAUAUCUGAAUGGCUCAAAAACUGGUUAUAUUUCUUUAACUUUUGGUAUACUUAAAUUCGGGCUAUUAUUUAAUAUAUAUAUUGAUCAACAGCGGCGAUAAAAAUCAUUAGUCUCGACAAUGACUAGUUGUCAGUGAAAGUCUCUCAGGGGAGCCAGGCGGCUCUGUGAAUAAAGAGCUGGCUUGAACGCCUCGUGUUCAUUAGCCUGAAUAGUGAAGGAAUGCGGGUCAUUAAACCCCAAUUUCAUUUCAUAAAUCUCUCGGCUCAAUAAUGAGCUACUCGGGUUGGUUAGAUCCACGCCUUAAUGCAUAUACAACCAAUAGAGAAAUAGGUCAAAUAUGGCGACAAUGAUCAACUUGCUCUUCUUCUACUAAAUUAAAGAUUCGUGUGGAGAUUCUGUCGAUAUAAUCAUAUAUUUAUAUCUGCUCUUUCUUAAAAUGGAGACGGUCUACAUCUCAAAACCUGAUCUCUUCCUGGACUGGCUUUAGGAGAACGAUGAUGCAUAUCAAUUUCAUCCCUGAUCUCUAUGACACCUGUGGUGGAAGUGGAGGGCAAAUCGUAAUCAGUUUGGGUUCCAGCCCCGAGGACCUCUGUAAACUUUGCUUUUUGGUGAUGACUUAAUUUCCGAGCUUGAAAAUGACGCUUGUGUGUUUAUCAUGGCCUCUCAUAUUGGAAGAUAACAUUAAUGGCUUGUGUGUUGAUCGACGGUUGUGCAUAUCUCUUGGUCAGGAAAGUUGUAGGCACCAUCGCCAUUGUAAAUCAUUUGACAGGCCCGAGUGAACGGGGCGACCUAUGAUUGGUCAGCAAUGUAUCAGAUUCCAUACCGGGGGGUGGGGAUGAAAAAACUGUUGUAGUGUUACAUAAUCAGAUUAUUGUCCCCCGCCUUUCGAAGAAAGCAGGGGACUAUUAAAAUGGGUUCGUCUGUCUGUCUGUCUGUCUGUCUGUCUGUCUGUGUGUCCGUCCGUCCGUCCGUCCGUCCGUCCGUCCGUCUGUCUGUCCGUCACACUUUUUGGGACACAAUAACUCUCUUCCUAAUUGAGCUAGAAUGUUCAAACUUGGUGUAUGUGUUUAUUAGGUCAAUGCCUUGAUGGAGUUCGAAGAUGAGCAUUUUCCGCUUAGGGUAAGCAGAGAUAAGCAAUUUGAUUGGUUGAUGCUUUGGGACACGAUAACUCUCUUCCUAAUUGGGCUAGAAUGUUCAAACUUGGUGUAUGUGUUGAUUAGGUCAAUGCCUUGAUGGAGUUUGAAGAUGAGCAUUUUCCGCUUAGGGUAAGCAGAGAUAAGCAAUUUGAUUGGUUGAUGCUUUGGGACACGAUAACUUUUAAUUGAGCUAGAAUGUUCAAACUUGGUGUAUGUGUUUAUUAGGUCAAUGCCUUGAUGGAGUUCGAAGAUGAGCAUUUUCCGCUUAGGGUAAGCAGAGAAAAGCAAUUUGAUUGGUUGAUACUUUGGGGCACGAUAACUCUCUUCCUAAUUGAGCUAGAAUGUUCAAACUUGGUGUAUGUGUUGAUUAGGUCAAUGCCUUGAUGGAGUUCGAAGAUGAGCAUUUUCCGCUUAGGGUAAGCAGAGAUAAGCAAUUUGAUUGGUUGAUGCUUUGGGACACGAUAACUUUAGUUCUAAUUAAGUGAGAUUGAUGAAACUUGGUGUAUAGUUUCAUUACAGUAAUACCUUGACUAAGUUUGAUAAUGAGCAUUUUCUGCUCAGGGUAAGCAGAGCGAUACGCAAUUUGAUUGGUCGAGACUUUGGAAAACAAUAACUCUCCUACUUUGAUUGUCCCCCGCCUUUCGAAGAAAGCAGGGAACUAUUAAAAUGGGUUCGUCCGUCUGUCUGUUUGUCUGUCUGUCCGUUCCGCUUAUGGUAAGCAGAAAAAACAAAUUGAAAAAGAAACUAUUAUAAAUUAAUUAAAUAUGUAGUAUGCAAUAAGGAAUUGACAUUUAAUGACAGAAAGAAAACAGUGAACUUUGCACAACUUGCAGCAAGAUGGAAAAUAGACCCGUUGAUACAACCAAACUCUAGAUCUGUAGGCAUAGAGCAUGUUUUCCCCUUAAUAUGCUAUAAUUAUUCCAUCAAAAACAUUGUAUGCUUAGACUAUAAGUAAAGAUAUACUGUUUGAUUGUUCAAUACUUUGUAAAAGAUAAUUUGUGAUAAAUUUAUAUGUGUCCUCUAAUUAUUUUCCUAUUUCGGCGGGGGACAUCAGCCUCACUGUUGGCUUGUUUCAACUUACUUAUCCUGUGGAAAUACAGCUAUAUAGGAGAUAUUUUGAAAUUCAUAGGCACUGCAUGUUUCAACAUUUUAGAUUUGACCACAAUCUGGCACUUGAAACUAUGUUAACAGAGAAAAACUGUGUGGUUUUCGAUGAAAGUGUUAAAAGUCUAAUAUUGCAUCAUGAUUACUGUUUUAAAGUAUUUUCGUGUUUGAUUUAUAUUGAAUUCAUCUCAUCUUUUUGAAGAAUGCAUUUAUGUUCAAAAAUAAAAAUGUUCUGUGGAAUUCAAAAUUCAUGUGCUUUUAAAUUAUCAGAUUCCAAACUGGGGGGUAGGGAUGAAAAAGCUGUUGUAGUGUUACAUAAUCAGAUUAUUUCAACUUACUUAUCCUAUGGAAAUACAGCUAUAUAGGAGAUAUUUUAAAAUUGAUAGGCACUGCAUGUUUCAACAUUUUAGAUUUGACCACAAUUUGGCACUUGAAACUACGUUAACAGAGAAAAACUGUGUGGUUUUCGAUGAAAGUGUUAAAAAGUCUAAUAUUGCAUCAUGAUUACUGUUUUAAAGUAUUUUCAUGUUUGAUUUAUAUUGAAUUGUAUUUAGAAAACGGAGGAAACCGAAUGACCCAGCGAAAAAACUCAAGAGUUUGGACAGGCGACUCUACUCCUUGAAAUUGAAACCAUGCCACUUAACACAAUGACAGACCCUGUGAUUUCAUGCGCAUGAAUUACCUACUAGACCAUUCCCCCCAGCCCCACCCCAUAUCGAAUAAAAGUAUGACUUAUUUCAAAUAUGAUAUUUACAUAUAAAGAAAGUAGAGAGACUUCAAUCUUACUAGAAAAAUACUAGAUUACCUGAAAUGAAAUGGGGUUUAAAGACAACGUCCUACUGGUCAGCUCCGACUGGUCUAAUGCAUUGUGCUAAGUGAAAAUGUUUGUCUGGGCAGCGACACUAUGGCCUACUCUCAUACUGAAUUCAAACUGCCAAGAGAACUUUUAUGUGUACGCCAAUGUGUACAUUGGAUCUCAGGGGAAACCACUCUGCAAAAUCAAGAUGAGCUUUCUCGGUCAACCCCAAGAGAUAACCUGUGGCCUCCAUGCUAGUGUGCCAGCACCUAAUUUACUCAGUCACCAUGGCCGUCUUCUAAUGUGACAAACAAGGAUUAUUAAGAUAGACUUUUACGGCUUGGUAGUUCCUUGGGAUUAAAACUUUUGAUACAUAUAGAUACAUUAGUUUCAAUUUCAUAUCACACAGUUUGUAUAUAUGGUAAGGUAGCUUUAAUCGUAAAUUACAUAUCAUGUAUUUAUUU